rnacentral:lncRNA from 1 species
AAAACUUACAAUCAUCCAUACAUAUCCAAACCACCAAAAAAAUCAUCAUUCCAUACCCAAAAUCAUCAUAACCAAGUACAAUUAGCUAACUUUACAAAAGGCAGAACACAAAAAUACAUACAUGCAGAAAAUAGAGAAACAACAUGAGCAUAAACCCUUUACUUUACAGCUUACAUCAUGUAUACUUCAAUAUAUACCUGAAAAUAUUUGAAAUUUAAAAAUUAUCGAAAUAUGUGAGUUAAAAUAAAACAAUUAUAAAUAUUUUAAGGAAAAGAUAUGGACUUACAAUCAAAUAUAGUUUUCUUAGUACUAUCUCAACGAACGGUUCAUUUGCUUAAUAAUUUAAAUCAAAAAUUUGCAUCUGGAAUUUCAUGGUUUCGAGGAUUAAAUGCAACAUCCAUAGUAACACCUUCUACUGUGUAGGCACUACAGAUAAAAUUAUAGAUGUCAUACAAUUUUUAAAAGGAGAACAUGAAUAAGACAGCAAGUGUGAGAAUAGAAAAUUAAAACUUAUAUCGAACACCUGGUGCCUUCAUUCGGAUUAUGUGGGGAGAAUGGUUCCAAGACUGUUGUUGUGCUUUUGUAUAGGUUUUGAGGAGGCAAGUCUUGGAGCAUGGUAGUCACAGGGGACAACCUUAAGAUAUUUGUUGGUGUGCCUUCUUCAUGAUUUUGAAGAGGAUUUUCUUGAUUCAUGAUGGCCACAAACAACCACCGUGAAACAAUUGUUGUAGUAUCUUCAUUAAGAUUUUGAAGCAAGGUGGUUGACGAUGAAAAGCUAUGUUACCCCACCUUUAUUGUUUUAUCCAAAUUUUUUCUUCUUUUUUCCUUCCAAAAGUUUUCUUGAAACAUAAAUGAUCAUAGAGAAAAAUACUAAUAGUACUAAUUAAGUUUAGUUAUUUAUAACAAUUUUUCGUUACGUCGUGUCUUACUCUCCUUGAACACAUAUACUGUCAGCACCAAAAUCAAGUCAAUAUAAUGUCAAUAAAAUAAUUUGCAAAUAAAGCCAAUAGUGAGACACAACAGUAGUAUAUGAGUUCAAUUCAAAUAAGAGGAAAGGAAAAUAUCAGUAUUGACAAUCAUUCAACAGUAAUAAUGAUACUUUUGCUAGUAAAUCAUUCAACAGUAAUUAUUU